UUAAGCGACUAAGCGUACACGGUGGAUGCCCUGGCAGUCAGAGGCGAUGAAGGACGUGCUAAUCUGCGAAAAGCGUCGGUAAGGUGAUAUGAACCGUUANCACUAUCGUUAACUGAAUACAUAGGUUAACGAGGCGAACCGGGGGAACUGAAACAUCUAAGUACCCCGAGGAAAAGAAAUCAACCGAGAUUCCCCCAGUAGCGGCGAGCGAACGGGGAGCAGCCCAGAGUCUGAAUCAGCUUGUGUGUUAGUGGAACGGUCUGGAAAGUCCGACGGUACAGGGUGAUAGUCCCGUACACCAAAAUGCACAGGCUGUGAACUCGAAGAGUAGGGCGGGACACGUGGUAUCCUGUCUGAAUAUGGGGGGACCAUCCUCCAAGGCUAAAUACUCCUGACUGACCGAUAGUGAACCAGUACCGUGAGGGAAAGGCGAAAAGAACCCCGGCGAGGGGAGUGAAAAAGAACCUGAAACCGUGUACGUACAAGCAGUGGGAGCACCUUCGGGUGUGACUGCGUACCUUUUGUAUAAUGGGUCAGCGACUUAUAUUCUGUAGCAAGGUUAACCGUAUAGGGGAGCCGCAGGGAAACCGAGUCUUAACUGGGCGUUAAGUUGCAGGGUAUAGACCCGAAACCCGGUGAUCUAGCCAUGGGCAGGUUGAAGGUUGGGUAACACUAACUGGAGGACCGAACCGACUAAUGUUGAAAAAUUAGCGGAUGACUUGUGGCUGGGGGUGAAAGGCCAAUCAAACCGGGAGAUAGCUGGUUCUCCCCGAAAGCUAUUUAGGUAGCGCCUCGUGAAUUCAUCUUCGGGGGUAGAGCACUGUUUCGGCUAGGGGGUCAUCCCGACUUACCAACCCGAUGCAAACUACGAAUACCGAAGAAUGUUAUCACGGGAGACACACGGCGGGUGCUAACGUCCGUCGUGAAGAGGGAAACAACCCAGACCGCCAGCUAAGGUCCCAAAGUCAUGGUUAAGUGGGAAACGAUGUGGGAAGGCACAGACAGCCAGGAUGUUGGCUUAGAAGCAGCCAUCAUUUAAAGAAAGCGUAAUAGCUCACUGGUCGAGUCGGCCUGCGCGGAAGAUGUAACGGGGCUAAACCAUGCACCGAAGCUGCGGCAGCGACACUAUGUGUUGUUGGGUAGGGGAGCGUUCUGUAAGCCUGCGAAGGUGACCUGUGAGGGUUGCUGGAGGUAUCAGAAGUGCGAAUGCUGACAUAAGUAACGAUAAAGCGGGUGAAAAGCCCGCUCGCCGGAAGACCAAGGGUUCCUGUCCAACGUUAAUCGGGGCAGGGUGAGUCGACCCCUAAGGCGAGGCCGAAAGGCGUAGUCGAUGGGAAACAGGUUAAUAUUCCUGUACUUGGUGUUACUGCGAAGGGGGGACGGAGAAGGCUAUGUUAGCCGGGCGACGGUUGUCCCGGUUUAAGCAUGUAGGCUGGUUGUCCAGGCAAAUCCGGAUAAUCAAGGCUGAGGUGUGAUGACGAGGCACUACGGUGCUGAAGUAACAAAUGCCCUGCUUCCAGGAAAAGCCUCUAAGCAUCAGGUAACAUCAAAUCGUACCCCAAACCGACACAGGUGGUCAGGUAGAGAAUACCAAGGCGCUUGAGAGAACUCGGGUGAAGGAACUAGGCAAAAUGGUGCCGUAACUUCGGGAGAAGGCACGCUGGUGUGUAGGUGAAGUCCCUGCGGAUGGAGCUGAGACCAGUCGAAGAUACCAGCUGGCUGCAACUGUUUAUUAAAAACACAGCACUGUGCAAACACGAAAGUGGACGUAUACGGUGUGACGCCUGCCCGGUGCCGGAAGGUUAAUUGAUGGGGUUAUCCGUAAGGAGAAGCUCUUGAUCGAAGCCCCGGUAAACGGCGGCCGUAACUAUAACGGUCCUAAGGUAGCGAAAUUCCUUGUCGGGUAAGUUCCGACCUGCACGAAUGGCGUAAUGAUGGCCAGGCUGUCUCCACCCGAGACUCAGUGAAAUUGAACUCGCUGUGAAGAUGCAGUGUACCCGCGGCAAGACGGAAAGACCCCGUGAACCUUUACUAUAGCUUGACACUGAACAUUGAGCCUUGAUGUGUAGGAUAGGUGGGAGGCUUUGAAGCGUGGACGCCAGUCUGCGUGGAGCCAACCUUGAAAUACCACCCUUUAAUGUUUGAUGUUCUAACGUUGGCCCCUUACCGGGGUUGCGGACAGUGUCUGGUGGGUAGUUUGACUGGGGCGGUCUCCUCCCAAAGCGUAACGGAGGAGCACGAAGGUUAGCUAAUCCUGGUCGGACAUCAGGAGGUUAGUGCAAUGGCAUAAGCUAGCUUGACUGCGAGCGUGACGGCGCGAGCAGGUGCGAAAGCAGGUCAUAGUGAUCCGGUGGUUCUGAAUGGAAGGGCCAUCGCUCAACGGAUAAAAGGUACUCCGGGGAUAACAGGCUGAUACCGCCCAAGAGUUCAUAUCGACGGCGGUGUUUGGCACCUCGAUGUCGGCUCAUCACAUCCUGGGGCUGAAGUAGGUCCCAAGGGUAUGGCUGUUCGCCAUUUAAAGUGGUACGCGAGCUGGGUUUAGAACGUCGUGAGACAGUUCGGUCCCUAUCUGCCGUGGGCGCUGGAGAAUUGAGGGGGGCUGCUCCUAGUACGAGAGGACCGGAGUGGACGCAUCACUGGUGUUCGGGUUGUCAUGCCAAUGGCACUGCCCGGUAGCUAAAUGCGGAAGAGAUAAGUGCUGAAAGCAUCUAAGCACGAAACUUGCCCCGAGAUGAGUUCUCCCUGAGACUUUAAGUCUCCUGAAGGAACGUUAAAGACGAUGACGUUGAUAGGCCGGGUGUGUAAGCGCAGCGAUGCGUUGAGCUAACCGGUACUAAUGAACCGUGAGGCUUAACCUU
rnacentral:rRNA from 1 species